rnacentral:lncRNA from 1 species
ACACACGGGACCAGACGCUUGCUUUAGUUGACGCAUGAAGACCGGUCCGGUCUUUUGCGGAGAAAAGUGGUUAAAAGCUGACUUGUGGGCCGAGAAACUGUGGCACCCUAAUGAGCUAGGGCUAGACGCUUCGACCACCACGCCAAGUGAUUCUGAAGAUCUCUAAUUCUGUCAAGGCGAGAGCGCUCCAACACGUGUUCAUCGGCUGUUGCUUUUUAAAGAGAAGGCAAGGAGGAAGUCUUGCUUUUCUUGUACUUUUUUUCCUAGAAGCAGCAUUAAAGAUUUACUCCU